rnacentral:rRNA from 1 species
CGGAGGGUGCAAGCGUUGUCCGGAUUUAUUGGGUUUAAAGGGUGCGUAGGCGGCCCGUUAAGUCAGUGGUGAAAGCCUCCAGCUUCAACUGGAGAACUGCCAUUGAUACUGACGGGCUUGAGUACAGACGAGGUUGGCGGAAUUGGAUUGUGUAGCGGUGAAAUGCAUAGAUACAAUCAAGAACUCCGAUUGCGUAGGCAGCUAACUAGGCUGUAACGUGACGCUGAGGCACGAAAGCGUGGGGAGCGAACAGGAUUAGAUACCCUGGUAGUCCACGCUGUAAACGAUGAUUACUCGAUGUUCGGCGAUAAACUGUCGGCGUCUUAGCGAAAGCGUUAAGUAAUCCGACCUGGGGAGUACGCCCGCAAGGGUG